GACCAAGAUUAAGACCUCGAAAUAUAGCGUGGCAGAAACGUGAUAAUGAGAUGUCAUUACUCUGCAGUAAAUUCAACCCGCAUUCAAGCCAUUUGCCAUUGCAAUCGCUUGUGCACUCACUGGAAUAAGCUUCCUUCAAAAGCUGGACACAGCUUUUUUGCAUUCAGGCCAGUCUUUGCGGUGCUUCAUCAAAUUCUGUUGCUAACUCUAGUGCUUCGUUUACGAUUUUGUUGCCCCUGUUUGCUAUAAACUCGGCUAGAACCGUUUUCCCUCAUUUUUUUGCCUUAGGGCCAGAUUUUUAAGUUCUAACCUACUUUUGAUUUUGUUUUCACUAAUGACCUCGACAACAUCAAAUGUCGUGUACCAUUCCCUUUUUUUCUUUGCCGUGCCUUGACUGCUUUUUUCUUGCCUUUUUCACUAUUGUUGCUGCCUUUGGUCUUCUUUAGUGACGUAUUUAUAAGCACUAUAGUAUGUUGCAUGGGCAGAACUGAAAUUAACUUUUAUUCCAUUUUCUGAUUCCAAUCUGGUACAGACUCUACACCAUCAGGCUCGGCGAGUAAUUUUUAAAGCCAUGUGAUAAUGGGUUCCAAAUGCACCUACAAUCUCCUUGUCAUGAUGACUCUCCUGUGCUACAACCCAGUGUGCUACUUUAACGACAUCCAGAUGUUCAAAAGCUCUCACUACAAUAUCUGCAAAAACCUGCUUGGUCGGAACUUUAGACAAAUCAGCCCUGCUAUAUGUUACAAGAUAAACACAAUAGACUGCUGUCGACUUCUAAGCACAGGCAUAAUA